UGUAUGUGAAGUGUUCAUUAUAUUAUUUUUCAUUUCUAGUUUUAUAUAUCUUGUGGUUUUUUUAAUAAUAUUUAAAAAUGACCAUUGACAAAACAUAGCAUAACGUAGCAUGAACAAAUUUGGUUUUGCUUUCAUUCACAUACAUAUUCUAUGUGAGAUCUAUGCUUCUGUGGAUGUUUUGUAUUGUGUUUGGGAGUUACUUUUUUCUUUCUUAUUUGUUUAAACUUAGAUACAACUUUGUUAUCUUUGGAGGAAUAGAUGGCUAUUCAAGAAAGAUUAUGUACUUGAAGGUAGCAGACAACAACCGGUCUGACACCCACUUGGUCUUCUUCAAUGAAGCUGUGAACGAGCAUGGGUAUCCACUGAGAGUGAGAGGAGAUCAUGGAGGGGAAAAUGUUGGAGUAGCAGAAUUAAUGUUCUCAGUUCGUGGAACUGACAUUAACAGCUUUAUUGCAGGGAAAAGCGUACACGACCAACGAAUUGAACGUCUCUGGCGUGAUGUGUUCAUGAGUGUUACGGGUGUGUUUUACAACACCCUGCACUCUCUUGAGGAACAACACCUGCUUGACAUCAGCAGCAUCCUGCCACUAUGUUUUCCUGCCACGCAUCCAGGCCAACCUUGAUGUGUUCACUGAGGCAUGGGCCAACCAUCCAAUCAGGACAGAGCAAAACAUGACCCCAAACCAGUUGUGGCAGGUGGGCCAAGCACUGCAUCCUGUGGCAGAUCCUGAUCCUGAGGGUAUUCUCAUACCAGAGGUCCAGUGGGAAGAGAGUGGAUUUUCAAAUCAGCAUCAUCCCGGGGUCAAUGUCCCUCUCAGAUCCUGAAAUGAUGCUGCUGCAGGACACAAUCGAUCCACUACAAGAAUCGGAUUGUUUUGGAGUUGACAUUUACCUCGAGACUGUCCAAUACGUUGAGAACCUCAUUGAAGCCAGAUAAUGAGGAUCAACAUUUAUUGUCCUUAACUGUACUUGCAACUUAAAAUUGUUUAACUCAAAUUGCAGUUGCUGGAUUGGAAUUGUAAAAGAGAAAUGUAAGUUUAUACAGAGUUAACUUUUCAGUGAAGUGUUGGCGGUAAUAGGAGACGCUAAACGAGUCCCUCAGAUUUGUAGGUUGAUAAACAAAAGGUUGUAAUCAGCAAGCUGUCAUGUGAGAAGACAGGAUAAUAUCAUGUGUACUGUUAAGGAAAGGUGCUGCAUCAGGAGUACAUGGUUAUGUUUUAUACAUUUCUAAUGUACUAAUUCUCCAAAAAUCCCCUUUCAGUAUAGAAUACAAUAAUUGGUCAGUGUCCCUUUAUAUCAACCUUUUUUAACCUCAUCGUGAAAAGGAAAGCGGUGUUGUUUCAAUCUGGGGAACAAAAUGAUUUGUUUACCUAAGGCUACUUUAAAUAUUUAAUUGUCAAAUACAGUUUUUUAGCAACUGAAUUGAGUUUGAUUUACUAUAUGAAUAAUAAAGAACCAUAAUUGAAUGUACUGCUUGUGUUCAAGGGAGUGGCAAGUGUAAAAGUGUAACAAUGAUAAUAGCCAAAAAUAAUUCUACCAAAACUCUUUUAUUAAAGAAAAAAAGCUGCAGGUGUAAAAGCUGUUGGUAUAUAUUGGUACAACAACUGUAACACUAGGAAAAGGAACUAGGAGUGCAAGAGCAUUAUUAGCUUGAAAUGCAACUACACAAGCCCAAAGCCUGAAUCGAUGGAGCCAUCAUCAUGUCCUGGUAGAACUCCUCAUACGUUUUGUAAUGGCUGGGGAGCUUCAAUUUGGUGAAGCAGGUCAGAGCCACGGGGUGUUUUGCCGUAACAACCUCCACAUUUAGGUAUCUUGACGGCAGCUCCCACCCAACCCAGAACCUCAUGAGGUUGCGCAGUAUGU